UAAUCAGUUAAUAAUCAUAGUUUUAGGGGGGAGGAGUGUGGUGGAGUCUGCGGGCCUAUGGGGAAGGGCAUGGUGAUGUUGCAUGGUGGGCGUGAUGAUGGGAGGUGGCCGUGGGGGUCGGCAAGGGAUAUGAGGUGUGCGCGCCGCCUGAGGCGUCGUAGUAAUGCUGGAGUCGGCUGGCUCGUGAGUGUACCGAGUACGGAAUAAAGGGGAGCCGCGGGCACAGUACGCCCGCGCUCGCACUCGUGCAACACAGCCCGGCUCGACUGUUCCUCCGCUUCGUGUCUGCCUGCUAAGCAUCUCUCAUUUCAGUACAGUACACUUUUGAGUGGUGUAAUUUUAUAGGUUUUAGGAUAAAUCCAAUAUGGCUGCCAGCCAUGUGACCUAUGAUAUCAUAAGGAGGGCACCAUGACAUCAUAAAAAAAAUGAAACACAUUCCGCAUGAGGAGUACUUGCUGUGCGCCAAGUUUCAAGUUUUUUUCCUUGGUGCAGGAAAGCACUAUCGUAUCCAGUUUGUAUGACUGCACACCGAUAUUGGGGAGCCGCGCAGCCCAGCAACUACAACUACUUGAGAUCCGACAUGAAAAUAUCUGCCACCUCGUAAGCACACCAGCAACAAAUCCUCCCAGCAAAUUCCUGACACUUGAUAAUGUGAUGGAACGCUAUUGUGAUCUCUUCACCGGCAAUGGACUGUUUGAAGGGGGGAGCAUCAUAUCGAGACUGACCCCAAAGUCAAACCAGUCGUACAUCUACCACCCAGAGUUCCAGUGGUACUGCAUUCCAAGAUUGAGGAGUAACUUAGUCAUUUGGAAGAGCUGGGCAUCAUUACACCAGUGCAGGAGAUAUCUAUCAAGGCUGGAUGUACUCUCAUUGCUGAACAAUGACAUCACCAUGGUAACAAACAUGUUGAUCCCUCGCAGGGCCCAUUGUGAGACACACCUCAACAUGGAGUCUCCAGAUCAGCCUGCACUGCGCCAUCCUGGCACUUAACAGGGAAGACCACGCACACACAUGAACACUUUUGUCAAUUAUAUUGUGCGCCUUGUGUCCCGGAUCGAGUCUACUCGUGCUUAGUCGGCAUUAAGAAUAAAUGGGAAACUGUUACCGUCCAAUUUCUCGCUAAAUUAUUUUCCUGUAUUUUUGAUUCCCGUUUGCCCAACACCAUUAUUUAUCAAACUUGCUGUUUUAAAAGAGAGUUACUGUCUCUUGUCCUCAGGCAUAAUCAAAUUUUCCUCCCUAAAACUACACGCACGUGCUGAAAGUGUCACGUGCUUAAAGUAAAAAAACACAACCACACUGCGGAUUAAUCAGUGCGUGCACAGACCACCUCCACUCGGCGUCUUCGGAGUUCAUCUCCUGUGGUCUCUCGUCUCCUUUUAGGCAGCCCCAGUCUGUUGCAAUAAUGUUUUCUGAACUGAAACGUUCUUCAUCGGAAUACCUGGGGUGUUGCUUUUGACACUGAGAGUGAAUUUGUGCCAUACUGGCCACGGUGAAUACCACCGUGCAUGAUAGGACAUAAUAUAUAUAAUCUAACAAAGAUGAUUUGGGGGUGUGGAGAACGAGGGAAACAUGGAAACAAGACUAUAUUCAGGGUGGAGUAAAAGACAGAAACGAUCUGUAGUGCACAGCAAGAUUCAGUGUGGCAUGACACAAGGGUUCACCCGCGGUGAGAAAAGUGUGAUUGCAGAAACUACCAACAUUGUCCAUUAAUUGGUUCUCAUCAUGAUUGGUCUUGCAUUGUUUUCAGGCAUGGCCUUUGUAGAGACAAAAACAUGAGGCAGCACAGCUUUCAUUGUACGACCCUGAUAGCCUCUUCUGAGUUGGCAAUCAAAAUUUGAUUCACUUUCCAGAAAUACCAUUUUCCAUUCCAUGUUUGAAACAUUCUCUUUAAAGAACGAAAUUACUUGGGAACCCUGGAGGGGUUUCUUGACGUCCUGCCAGUUGCCCUGACACCUUUCUUUGCCUCGAACAAAAAUGGAUGAAAAGUUACGAAGUGUUGUAUCUUAUGAAGGAAUCACUCCAACCUUAUUCCACUUCAAUAUCUGCUGAUCAAUCCUUUAGCAACGUUAAACAUGGUGUCCCAUUUGCCGGCAUUAGUUGGUGGACGUUAAAGAUCCCACGGUGGCCUUCACAUAGAGCGGGCGAGCUAUCGCAGGCACCCUGGCCAAAUUCCAAAUUUCCGCUAUUGUUUCAACUAUUGUUGGCAAGGCAAUGGCAAACCCUUGCCAAGAAAAUGCUUCAGCGGUGAUUUCAGAUAGAACACCAGAAAUGAAAAAUAUUUGUUAGCUGGUCUGCAGCAAGAUAAGAGUGAUUAUUAUCGUACAAAUUGUCAGUAUAAAAAAUUAUUUGAAAGUCAUGUUUUUUAUCUGUAACAAUGAAUGCCAAAAUAUGGCUGCCUUUUUAUUAUUUUUAAUACUUUUUUGCACAAGUGUGGAAAAGUUAAACAAAUGAUUAUACUUAUUCAUAUAAAACCCUGGCCUUAUCCAGAAUCCUAAAGUAGAAAAGUAUUUUUAAUUGUAUUAAAAUUAUCCAUAAUUGGUGGUCGAGUUAAUUCAACUUGAAGCUGAAAAAUGUUUGACCAUGCUGUGUUUAAUGAACACGUAAUAAGUUUCGGGCAAUACCAAUAAUAAUAGUAGUAAUAAUAAUAAUAAUAAUAAUAAUAAUAAUGACAACAACAGGAAAGAUGUUGUGCAUAGCACAAUACUUGUGAAAUCCAAAUAAAGAAUAGCUGCCAUGGAAACAGCAAUUAGACAAUCUCGAAAAUUUGACCGAUCAAGUGUUUACAUCAUUGAUUGUUUCAUGCACAGAACAAAUUUGAUUGAUAAAUUUUCUAACUGUGGCUGAAUUGGUGCUUCACACGUUUCAGAUGGCCUUGACCUUCACCUUUGACUACCUUUAACCAAACUUUACACACAUAUUCGACGCACACAUACAAAUGGGCUGUGUAAUUUUCAAUUUGACAUAUGGAAAAAUUAUGGAGGUACUCAGCAUUUUUACCCGUCACUUCACUGAUCGAUUGAAUCAAAAGACAACAUGUUGUGCUUCACAACCAUUCAGCUAUACUCGCCCUAUCAUUUGUCCUUGGACAUCUUCCAUCUACUUGGAAGUCAGCUAACACCGCCUUCUUCAGCCAACUUCUUCUUCUUAUCGGUCACAAUUAAUCCCACGUUCUUGCAUGGUUAACUGGG
ensembl:lincRNA